rnacentral:rRNA from 1 species
UAUACAAAGGUAUUGAAAUAAGAUUUUAAUUGAAUGCUAAGAGAAUGGAAUUUCAGAAAAAAACUUUUUUCAAGUUAAAAAUUGAAAUUUUUUUAAUUUGUGCAGAAACAAUUAUUAAUAUUAAGGACAAGAAGACCCUAUGAAUUUAUAAAUUUUAUUUAAUAUGUAACUACUAUUGAAAAAAUUUUAGCUGGGGCGGCGGAAAAAUAUUUAAAACUUUUUUAAAAUAAAAUGACCCAUUAUUAAUGAUUAUAUGUUAAAUACUCUAGGGAUAACAGCGUUAUAUUUUUUGAUAGAUCAUAUUGACAAAAAAGUUUGCGACCUCGAUGUUGGAUUAGGAUACUUUUUUAAUGCAGAUAUUAAAAAAAGAAGUUUGUUCAACUUUUAAUUUCCUACA